rnacentral:rRNA from 1 species
GACGAACGCUGGCGGCGUGCUUAACACAUGCAAGUCGAACGAUGAAGCUGGAGCUUGCUCCGGUGGAUUAGUGGCGAACGGGAGAGUAACACGUGAGCAAUCUGCCCUUGACUCUGGGAUAACUGCGGGAAACUGUAGCUAAUACCGGAUACGAGGCUCGAAGGCAUCUUCGGGUCUGGAAAGAAUUUCGGUCAAGGAUGAGCUCGCGGCCUAUCAGCUUGUUGGUGAGGUAAUGGCUCACCAAGGCGACGACGGGUAGCCGGCCUGAGAGGGUGACCGGCCACACUGGGACUGAGACACGGCCCAGACUCCUACGGGAGGCAGCAGUGGGGAAUAUUGCACAAUGGGCGAAAGCCUGAUGCAGCAACGCCGCGUGAGGGAUGAAGGCCUUCGGGUUGUAGACCUCUUUUAGCAGGGAAGAAGCGAAAGUGACGGUACCUGCAGAAAAAGCACCGGCUAACUACGUGCCAGCAGCCGCGGUAA